rnacentral:rRNA from 1 species
AACGUAGGAGACAAACGUUAUCCGGAGUUACUGGGCGUAAAGGGCGUGUAGGUGGUUUCGUAAGUCUGGCGUGAAAUUUUUCGGCUUAACCGGGAAAGGUCGUCGGAUACUGCGGAGCUAGAGGACGGUAGAGGCGUGUGGAAUUCCGGGUGUAGUGGUGAAAUGCGUAGAUAUCAGUCGGAACACCGGUGGCGAAGGCGGCUUCUUGGGCCCUACCUGACGCUGAGGCGCGAAAGCCAGGGGAGCGAACGGG